AGUAAUAUUACACACUUAUCAUACCAUAUGACAUAGUAUUAGUAAUAUUACACACUUAUCAUACCAUAUGACAUAGUAUUAGUAGGCCUGUAUUUAAAUAAUUGUUUUAUUUUCUUCUUCCCUGGUUUCUUCUAUGUUAAAUCUCCACCUUGCAUUUAAAAUCUCAAGAUACUACAGCAUUGUUUCUCUGGGUUCCUGUGAUGGGGGUGGGGGCUGUCCUGACUGUUGGAGCUCUUCUUGUCACAAUCUACUGCUAUAUGAAGAGGAGACACACAGGAGGAAGUGAUGACACAGCAGACAGACAGAGUGUCCAUCCUGACCCCAACAGUGACAUGUACACAUCUCUGAACAUGAAGACCAGGUCACCAGAGUAUGACACCCUGGCAAAUGUGAGGGACUUCGCAGUGACACAGCCCUCAGAUACAUGCUGAGCUCUCCGAUUAUGAGAACUUAAGAGAACCACCACAGAACCUGGACUGAAGAGAACAACUACAGAACCUGGACUGAUGAGAACCACCACAGAACCUGGACAGAAGAGAACCACCACAGAACCUGGACUGAAGAGCACCACCACAGAACCUGGACUGAAGAGAACCACCACAGAACCUGGACUGAAGAGCAACAGCAUCAAACCAAAGCUAGGCCUCACAAUGCUAUUCUCUUACUAUGAUAUUGCUUUUUAAUCUAGAAGGUUUGAGACAAUGAGCUUUAACUUCUGAGUAAAUCCUGGAAUUGAGAUUGUUCUCCUAAUGAUAAAUACAGUAUGUGCACUACCGUUCAAAAGUUUGGGUCACUUAAAAUGUCCUUGUUUUUGAAAGAAUAGCUAAAUAAAUUGUCCAUUAAAAUAGCAUCUAAUUGAUCAGAAAUGCAGUGUAGACAUUGUUAAUGUUGUAAAUUACUAUUCUACCUGGAAAAUGCAGAUGUUUUAUGGAAUAUCUACAAAGGCGGACAGAGGCCAAUUAUCAGCAACCAUUACUCCUGUGUUCCAAUGGCACGUUGUGUUAUCCAAGUUUAUCAUUUUAAAAGGUAAAUGAAUCAUUAGAAAACCAUAUUGUAAUUAUGUUAGCACAGCUGAAAACUGUUGUGCUCGCUGAUUAAAGAAGCAAUGAAACUGGCCUUUUUUACACUAGUUGAGUAUCUGGAGCAUCAACAUUUGUGGGUUCAUUUACAGGUUCAAAAUGUCAACUUAUCUGUUUACUAUCUGUAGAUUGUAUUGCUUAUCUUUUUUAUGGAGUUUUGCCAAUUCUAGAUUUUUAUAACAUAUAAAGUAUUGGCUUGUCUUCCUGGAGUUGUUCCUGAUGUGUUAAAAUAUGUUUUACUUUGUAUUGCUGUCAGUCAUUACUGGUCAUUUUAUAUUUUAUUUUAUGUAAUACUAUAUUGUUCAGUGUUAUGAUAUUGCUUGUUUCAUUAUCACAUAAUUAAUAAUGACGUAUUUUAGAUACAUUGAACACAGUAUAAGCAUCAUGUUAUAAACAAGCUCAAAGGGAGACAAUAAAAAGACAACAAAUAAAUGGAUAA